CAAAACCGAGCCGAGUUUUUGAUGUCGCAGAUACUGCAUCAGGAACUGAUUGGAUAAUAAUCAGUCACCAUCAGUUCCUAAUGCAUUGCCUUCAGCAUCUAAACAA
rnacentral:pre_miRNA from 13 species